AACGAACGCUGGCGGCAGGCUUAACACAUGCAAGUCGAACGCCCCGCAAGGGGAGUGGCAGACGGGUGAGUAACGCGUGGGAAUCUACCCAGUUCUACGGAACAACACAGGGAAACUUGUGCUAAUACCGUAUACGCCCCAAGGGGGAAAGAUUUAUCGGAAUUGGAUGAGCCCGCGUUGGAUUAGCUAGUUGGUGGGGUAACGGCCUACCAAGGCUACGAUCAGUAGCUGAUCUGAGAGGAUGAUCAGCCACAUUGGGACUGAGACACGGCCCAAACUCCUACGGGAGGCAGCAGUGGGGAAUAUUGGACAAUGGGCGCAAGCCUGAUCCAGCCAUGCCGCGUGAGUGAUGAAGGCCUUCGGGUUGUAAAGCUCUUUUAUCCGGGAAGAUAAUGACUGUACCGGAAGAAUAAGCCCCGGCAAACUUCGUGCCAGCCGCCGCGGUAAAAC
rnacentral:rRNA from 1 species